rnacentral:rRNA from 1 species
AUUGAACGCUGGCGGCAUGCUUUACACAUGCAAGUCGAACGGCAGCGCGGGGCAACCUGGCGGCGAGUGGCGAACGGGUGAGUAAUAUAUCGGAACGUACCCAAGAGUGGGGGAUAACGUAGCGAAAGUUACGCUAAUACCGCAUACGAUCUAUGGAUGAAAGCAGGGGACCUUCGGGCCUUGUGCUCCUGGAGCGGCCGAUAUCUGAUUAGCUAGUUGGUGAGGUAAAGGCUCACCAAGGCGACGAUCAGUAGCUGGUCUGAGAGGACGACCAGCCACACUGGAACUGAGACACGGUCCAGACUCCUACGGGAGGCAGCAGUGGGGAAUUUUGGACAAUGGGCGCAAGCCUGAUCCAGCAAUGCCGCGUGAGUGAAGAAGGCCUUCGGGUUGUAAAGCUCUUUUGUCAGGGAAGAAACGGUUGGGGCUAAUAUCCCCGGCUAAUGACGGUACCUGAAGAAUAAGCACCGGCUAACUACGUGCCAGCCGCCGCCGUAA